rnacentral:pre_miRNA from 1 species
UGUUAAAAAUUAAUCCAUCCAUUUUUAUAGUUAAAAACUGUUAUGCUAACAGAAUAACAUAUGUAUCUCAUAGUGACGUACAAUGACCAGCUUUUAAUAGUAGAAAUAGAUGGAUUUUUUAACA